rnacentral:rRNA from 1 species
CCUACGGGGGGCAGCAGUGAGGAAUAUUGGUCAAUGGGCUUACGCCUGAACCAGCCAAGUCGCGUGAGGGAAGACUGCCCUAUGGGUUGUAAACCUCUUUUGUCAGGGAGCAACGCCGACUACGUGUAGCCGGACUGAGAGUACCUGAAGAAAAAGCAUCGGCUAACUCCGUGCCAGCAGCCGCGGUAAUACGGAGGAUGCGAGCGUUAUCCGGAUUUAUUGGGUUUAAAGGGUGCGUAGGCGGAAUGCCAAGUCAGCGGUAAAAUCGCGGGGCUCAACCUCGCUCCGCCGUUGAAACUGGCGGUCUUGAGUGGGCGAGAAGUAUGCGGAAUGCGUGGUGUAGCGGUGAAAUGCAUAGAUAUCACGCAGAACUCCGAUUGCGAAGGCAGCAUACCGGCGCCCAACUGACGCUGAAGCACGAAAGCGUGGGUAUCGAACAGGAUUAGAUACCCCAGUAGUC